UACGUAGGGUGCGAGCGUUUAAUCGGAAUUACUGGGCGUAAAGCGUGCGCAGGCGGUUCGUGAUGUCUGAUGUGAAAGCCCCCGGGCUCAACCUGGGAACUGCAUUGGAAACUAGCGGGCUGGAGUGUGGCAGAGGGGGGUGGAAUUCCACGUGUAGCAGUGAAAUGCGUAGAGAUGUGGAGGAACACCGAUGGCGAAGGCAGCCCCCCUGGGCUAACACUGACGCUCAUGCACGAAAGCGUGGGGAGCAAACAGG
rnacentral:rRNA from 1 species